UACGUAGGUGGCAAGCGUUGUCCGGAAUUAUUGGGCGUAAAGCGCGCGCAGGCGGUCCUUUAAGUCUGAUGUGAAAGCCCACGGCUCAACCCUGGACGUGCAUUGGAUACGACGGCGCUGGAGUCCUGAAGAGGAGGGCGGAAUUCCCGGUGUAGAGGUGAAAUUCGUAGAUAUCGGGAGGAACACCAGUGGCGAAGGCGGCUCUCUGGACAGGUACUGACGCUGAGACGCGAAAGCGUGGGUAGCAAACAGG
rnacentral:rRNA from 1 species